rnacentral:rRNA from 1 species
AACGCUGGCUCUGUGCUUUAACAUGCAAGUCGAGCGGCAGCGCGGGGGCAACCCUGGCGGCGAGCGCCGCACGGGUGAGUAAUGCAUCGGAACGUGUCCUCUUGUGGGGGAUAACCAGUCGAAAGACUGGCUAAUACCGCAUGAGCACGAGAGUGGAAAGCGGGGGACCGUAAGGCCUCGCGCGAGAGGAGCGGCCGAUGCCGGAUUAGCUAGUUGGCGGGGUAAAAGCCCACCAAGGCGACGAUCCGUAGCUGGUCUGAGAGGACGACCAGCCACACUGGGACUGAGACACGGCCCAGACUCCUACGGGAGGCAGCAGUGGG